UAUUUAUUGAUAACAACAGAUACCAUUUUUAACACGUCAAAGCAGAGUAAUAGAAACUGUAUAACUGCUGUCACAAAUGCAGUAUAAAGUCGCCGAUGUCAUCACAGGUUAUAUCAUUAUUUGUUACGAGGAUCCAGCCAUUACAAAAAGAUGCGCUUUACAUGCCUGCUAGUGUUUAUGGUGGUGUCUGCAGUGAUCCACGAGUCACACUCCAGGUUAUAUUACUAUCGGAGGAGAGCAGUUGAUAUGAUAUUGAAACUUGCAGCUCAAAGGUUUAUUGCAAGGAAACAAGCACAAGCUGCAAUGUUGGGAGGAAAGCGAGAUAUCUCGGAAUAUGACACCGACAAAUAUGAAAUCAUCGACCUAGAGGAACCGGAGAAAGCGAUGAGUACUUGAGAUGCUGAGGAUUUUCUGCAAAUUGCCGAUGUUGACGCAACACAGAAGACCUACAUACACUGAUCAGACGUCGACAUAAAUAAAAUUU